rnacentral:rRNA from 1 species
UACAGAGGGUGCGAGCGUUGUCCGGAAUCAUUGGGCGUAAAGGGUGCGUAGGCGGUCUCGCAAGUCUGGCGUGAAAGCCCAAGGCUCAGCCUUGGAAGUGCGCUCGAAACGGCGAGGCUGGAGUGCCGGAGGGGAGAGUGGAAUUCCCGGUGUAGCGGUGAAAUGCGUAGAUAUCAAGAGGAACACCUGAGGUGAAGACGGGUUGCUGGGCCAACACUGACGCUGAUGCGCGAAAGCCAGGGGAGCAAACGGG